UACGGGGGGGGCAAGCGUUGUUCGGAAUUACUGGGCGUAAAGGGCUCGUAGGUGGCCAACUAAGUCACACGUGAAAUCCCUCGGCUUAACCGGGGAACUGCGUGUGAUACUGGAUGGCUUGAGUUUGGGAGAGGGAUGCGGAAUUCCAGGUGUAGCGGUGAAAUGCGCAGAUAUCAGGAGGAACACCGACGGCGAAGGCAGCUUACUGGGCCGAUACUGACGCUGAGGAGCGAAAGCGUGGGGAGCGAACAGG
rnacentral:rRNA from 1 species